AGAGUUUGAUCCUGGCUCAGGACGAACGCUGGCGGCGUGCCUAACACAUGCAAGUCGAACGGGGUCCAUGGGAGCUUGCUCCCGGAAGACCUAGUGGCGAACGGGUGAGUAACACGUGAGGAACCUGCCUCGGAGUGGGGAAUAACUCGGGGAAACUCGAGCUAAUACCGCAUACCCUCGGAUGAUCGCAUGGUCGCCCGAGGAAAGAUUUAUCGCUCUGAGAGGGCCUCGCGGCCUAUCAGCUAGUUGGUGGGGUAACGGCCUACCAAGGCAACGACGGGUAGCUGGUUUGAGAGAACGAUCAGCCACACUGGGACUGAGACACGGCCCAGACUCCUACGGGAGGCAGCAGUGGGGGAUCUUGCGCAAUGGGCGAAAGCCUGACGCAGCAACGCCGCGUGCGGGAUGACGGCCUUCGUGGUUGUAAACCGCUUUCAGCAGGGACGAAACUGACGGUACCUGCAGAAGAAGCCCCGGCUAACUACGUGCCAGCAGCCGCGGUAAUACGUAGGGGGCAAGCGUUGUCCGGAUUCAUUGGGCGUAAAGAGCUCGUAGGCGGUUCAGUAAGUCAGGUGUUAAAGCUCCGAGCUCAACUCGGAGAGGCCAUCUGAUACUGCUGUGACUGGAAUCCAGUAGGGGAGCGUGGAAUUCCUGGUGUAGCGGUGAAAUGCGCAGAUAUCAGGAGGAACACCAGCGGCGAAGGCGGCGCUCUGGGCUGAGAUUGACGCUGAGGAGCGAAAGUGUGGGUAGCAAACAGGAUUAGAUACCCUGGUAGUCCACACCGUAAACGUUGGGCACUAGGUGUGGGGAGGAAUCAACCCUUUCCGUGCCGUAGCUAACGCAUUAAGUGCCCCGCCUGGGGAGUACGGCCGCAAGGCUAAAACUCAAAGGAAUUGACGG
rnacentral:rRNA from 1 species